rnacentral:misc_RNA from 1 species
AAAGUCGUAACAAGGUUUCCGUAGGUGAACCUGCGGAAGGAUCAUUAUUGAAUCUAAAUUGGACGAAGUUGUAGCUGGCCCUCUAAAGGGGCAUGUGCACGCUUCGUUCAUUUUCCAACCUCUAUACCUCUGUGCACUUCUCAUGGGUCGGGUUCCAAAGUCCUUUAUGGAUGGAAAAGCCCUUCCUGUGUGUUUUUGUAUCACAUACUAUUGUUUGUCUCAGAAUGUCUACUUUACUGUGCAUGAAUGCAUAUAAAUACAACUUUCAGCAACGGAUCUCUUGGCUCUC